rnacentral:RNase_P_RNA from 2 species
AGAGUCGGUCAGGCAAUCGCUCCUUGCCUAAAGGCAAGGGGAGGAAAGUCCGGGCUCCAUAGGGCAGAGUGCCAGGUAACUCCUGGGAGGUGUGAGCCUACGGAAAGUGCCACAGAAAAUAUACCGCCUGCUAUUCCUUUUGGAGUCGUAGGUAAGGGUGAAAUGGUGCGGUAAGAGCGCACCGCGCGGUUGGUAACAAUCGUGGCAGGGAAAACCCCACUCGGAGCAAGACCAAAUAGGAAUCCAUUUGACUGCAAAGUCAUAACGUAUGGCUCAUACGGGAUUCGGGUAGGUCGCUUGAGGCAUGCGGUGACGCAUGCCCCAGAUGAAUGGUUGCCCACGACAGAACCCGGCUUAUCGACCGACUCCUUUU